GACGAACGCUGGCGGCGUGCUUAACACAUGCAAGUCGAGCGGUAAGGCCUUUCGGGGUACACGAGCGGCGAACGGGUGAGUAACACGUGGGCGACCUGCCCUCCACUCUGGGAUAAGCCCGGGAAACUGGGUCUAAUACCGGAUAUGACCUCUCAUCGCAUGGUGGGUGGUGGAAAGUUUUUCGGUGGGGGAUGGGCCCGCGGCCUAUCAGCUUGUUGGUGGGGUGAUGGCCUACCAAGGCGACGACGGGUAGCCGGCCUGGGAGGGCGACCGGCCACACUGGGACUGAGACACGGCCCAGACUCCUACGGGAGGCAGCAGUGGGGAAUAUUGCGCGAUGGGCGGAAGCCUGACGCAGCGACGCCGCGUGGGGGAUGACGGCCUUCGGGUUGUAAACCUCUUUCGCCAGGGACGAAGCGUGAGUGACGGUACCUGGAUAAGAAGCACCGGCCAACUACGUGCCAGCCGCCGCGGUAA
rnacentral:rRNA from 1 species